AUGCUGAGAAGAGAUGUAACAUCGGUACCUGCUGGUCUCUACAACCAGGAUGUGACCAAUUCAGACACUGUGAGCUUGUCCCAUUGCAGCCUCUGUAAAAGCUUUAUUUGUCAGAGCCCUGGAAAGCACCAUUCUGCGUCAGAAGGGACAAGAAUUCACACAAGCUACUUAUUUAUGCUGCUCUGCAUCCCAAGGUUUACAGUUUUUAAUACAUCUAUCUGUCAGCUAAACUCUACCAUCCCUGUGCAACCUGCUCUGGGUGGACCUGCUUUGGCAGGGGGGUUGGACAAGAUGAUCUCCAGAGGUCCCUUCCAACCCCAACUGUUCAUCUCAUUGAUGAACAGUUGUCUAAAAUGUAUGGAGUCAAAUUGGCAAACUAUGGAAAUAAUUCACAUUAACCCCCCCCCUCAAUAUCAUAAUGGAAAACAGAAUCUUGGCCCAAAGUUUUCAAACAGGGGUGGCAAAGCCACAUAACGAUGAUGUCCAGAGGCCUGGGACAUCCAACAGUGCUGACUUACAAGCUGAAGAUCCAUCAAGGACAGUAAUGUUUCUGGGAGAAACUUCUGCAAAUCUAAAGGGAACACAGAAGGCUCCUCUCCUUAGUUAUAAUGUGGCUGCUUGGCCAUAGCUGCAAUUUUGAAGUCAUGGUAUCACCACCACUUUGAACAAUAUCACAAAGAUUCAGCUGAGGUGGGACUCUAUGGCAAGAAAAUAACCCCUUUGUUGGGGGGAGAAUUCUGAUUUAGGUGCCCAAACAGUUCAUCAGUUUUAGACAGAAAUUCUACAUAAUUUCACACUGUUUUAAAAUCUGAGUGCAAGGCCACAUUUUUACAGAAAAGAAAGAUACAAGUAUUAUUUUGCAUUAUUUCCAGCAGAAGUUAUAGCUCUGAUCAAAACAGAAAAAAAAUUCUCUCAUAUAUGUUCUCUAUGAAAACCACACGUGUUCUCUAUGAAAACCAUAACUAACGACAAGCUUAAAUACACCUGUUGAUCAAGACACAAAACUCCAUGUUAUUUAUGCACAAUAAAAAGCAGUUUAAAAGCA
rnacentral:lncRNA from 1 species